GUAUUCUUGGUGAGGUUUUAUUUAAUUAAGAUUUUAAAACUAGAAAGAGGAGGUACAGUAAAUACACCCCAUAUACACCUCAACCCAGGCCCUUUGCCUGGUCUGUAUUGUGAAUAGAGGGACAAAA